GUAGGUGGCAAGCGUUGUCCGGAUUUACUGGGUGUAAAGGGCGUGUAGGCGGGAUGGUAAGUCAGAUGUGAAAUACCGGGGCGCAACCCCGGGGCUGCAUUUGAAACUGCCGUUCUUGAGUGUCGGAGAGGAAAGCGGAAUUCCUAGUGUAGCGGUGAAAUGCGUAGAUAUUAGGAGGAACACCAGUGGCGAAGGCGGCUUUCUGGACGAUAACUGACGCUGAGGCGCGAAAGCGUGGGGAGCAAA
rnacentral:rRNA from 1 species